rnacentral:rRNA from 1 species
UGAGUAGGGCGGGACACGUGGUAUCCUGUCUGAAUAUGGGGGGACCAUCCUCCAAGGCUAAAUACUCCUGACUGACCGAUAGUGAACCAGUACCGUGAGGGAAAGGCGAAAAGAACCCCGGCGAGGGGAGUGAAAAAGAACCUGAAACCGUGUACGUACAAGCAGUGGGAGCCUCUUUUAUGGGGUGACUGCGUACCUUUUGUAUAAUGGGUCAGCGACUUAUAUUCUGUAGCAAGGUUAACCGAAUAGGGGAGCCGAAGGGAAACCGAGUCUUAACUGGGCGUUAAGUUGCAGGGUAUAGACCCGAAACCCGGUGAUCUAGCCAUGGGCAGGUUGAAGGUUGGGUAACACUAACUGGAGGACCGAACCGACUAAUGUUGAAAAAUUAGCGGAUGACUUGUGGCUGGGGGUGAAAGGCCAAUCAAACCGGGAGAUAGCUGGUUCUCCCCGAAAGCUAUUUAGGUAGCGCCUCGUGAAUUCAUCUCCGGGGGUAGAGCACUGUUUCGGCAAGGGGGUCAUCCCGACUUACCAACCCGAUGCAAACUGCGAAUACCGGAGAAUGUUAUCACGGGAGACACACGGCGGGUGCUAACGUCCGUCGUGAAGAGGGAAACAACCCAGACCGCCAGCUAAGGUCCCAAAGUCAUGGUUAAGUGGGAAACGAUGUGGGAAGGCCCAGACAGCCAGGAUGUUGGCUUAGAAGCAGCCAUCAUUUAAAGAAAGCGUAAUAGCUCACUGGUCGAGUCGGCCUGCGCGGAAGAUGUAACGGGGCUAAACCAUGCACCGAAGCUGCGGCAGCGACGCUUAUGCGUUGUUGGGUAGGGGAGCGUUCUGUAAGCCUGUGAAGGUGUACUGUGAGGUAUGCUGGAGGUAUCAGAAGUGCGAAUGCUGACAUAAGUAACGAUAAAGCGGGUGAAAAGCCCGCUCGCCGGAAGACCAAGGGUUCCUGUCCAACGUUAAUCGGGGCAGGGUGAGUCGACCCCUAAGGCGAGGCCGAAAGGCGUAGUCGAUGGGAAACAGGUUAAUAUUCCUGUACUUGGUGUUACUGCGAAGGGGGGACGGAGAAGGCUAUGUUGGCCGGGCGACGGUUGUCCCGGUUUAAGCGUGUAGGCUGGUUUUCCAGGCAAAUCCGGAAAAUCAAGGCUGAGGCGUGAUGACGAGGCACUACGGUGCUGAAGCAACAAAUGCCCUGCUUCCAGGAAAAGCCUCUAAGCAUCAGGUAACAUCAAAUCGUACCCCAAACCGACACAGGUGGUCAGGUAGAGAAUACCAAGGCGCUUGAGAGAACUCGGGUGAAGGAACUAGGCAAAAUGGUGCCGUAACUUCGGGAGAAGGCACGCUGAUAUGUAGGUGAAGCGACUUGCUCGUGGAGCUGAAAUCAGUCGAAGAUACCAGCUGGCUGCAACUGUUUAUUAAAAACACAGCACUGUGCAAACACGAAAGUGGACGUAUACGGUGUGACGCCUGCCCGGUGCCGGAAGGUUAAUUGAUGGGGUUAGCGGUAACGCGAAGCUCUUGAUCGAAGCCCCGGUAAACGGCGGCCGUAACUAUAACGGUCCUAAGGUAGCGAAAUUCCUUGUCGGGUAAGUUCCGACCUGCACGAAUGGCGUAAUGAUGGCCAGGCUGUCUCCACCCGAGACUCAGUGAAAUUGAACUCGCUGUGAAGAUGCAGUGUACCCGCGGCAAGACGGAAAGACCCCGUGAACCUUUACUAUAGCUUGACACUGAACAUUGAGCCUUGAUGUGUAGGAUAGGUGGGAGGCUUUGAAGUGUGGACGCCAGUCUGCAUGGAGCCGGCCUUGAAAUACCACCCUUUAAUGUUUGAUGUUCUAACGUUGGCCCCUGAUCGGGGUUGCGGACAGUGUCUGGUGGGUAGUUUGACUGGGGCGGUCUCCUCCUAAAGAGUAACGGAGGAGCACGAAGGUUGGCUAAUCCUGGUCGGACAUCAGGAGGUUAGUGCAAUGGCAUAAGCCAGCUUGACUGCGAGCGUGACGGCGCGAGCAGGUGCGAAAGCAGGUCAUAGUGAUCCGGUGGUUCUGAAUGGAAGGGCCAUCGCUCAACGGAUAAAAGGUACUCCGGGGAUAACAGGCUGAUACCGCCCAAGAGUUCAUAUCGACGGCGGUGUUUGGCACCUCGAUGUCGGCUCAUCACAUCCUGGGGCUGAAGUAGGUCCCAAGGGUAUGGCUGUUCGCCAUUUAAAGUGGUACGCGAGCUGGGUUUAGAACGUCGUGAGACAGUUCGGUCCCUAUCUGCCGUGGGCGCUGGAGAACUGAGGGGGGCUGCUCCUAGUACGAGAGGACCGGAGUGGACGCAUCACUGGUGUUCGGGUUGUCAUGCCAAUGGCACUGCCCGGUAGCUAAAUGCGGAAGAGAUAAGUGCUGAAAGCAUCUAAGCACGAAACUUGCCCCGAGAUGAGUUCUCCCUGAGACUUUAAGUCUCCUGAAGGAACGUUGAAGACGACGACGUUGAUAGGCCGGGUGUGUAAGCGCAGCGAUGCGUUGAGCUAACCGGUACUAAUGAACCGUGAGG